UACAGAGACUGCAAGCGUUAUUCGGAUUCACUGGGCGUAAAGGGUGCGCAGGCGCCAAGUGUGUGAGGCGUGAAAGCCCCGGAGCUUAACUUCGGAAUUGCAGCCUCAAACUACAUGGCUAGAGCAUUGGAGAGGGUAGCGGAAUUCACGGUGUAGCAGUGAAAUGCGUAGAUAUUAGGAGGAACAUCAGUGGCGUAAGGCGGCUCACUGGCUGAACACUGACGCUAAGGCGCGAAAGCGUGGGGAGCAACAGG
rnacentral:rRNA from 1 species